rnacentral:lncRNA from 1 species
GAAGAGAAGAGCUAGGAGAGACCAGCGGGCGGUAGCUGCGGCGAGUGGCCUCUCCGUGCGGCACAGAGGCAAGAAGCAGCCAUCCAUCCAGAAGCAGCCUCCGUGUUCCGUUUGUCCGGAUGUCAUCGUAGGUGGCCGGCAUCUCUGGCUUUGGGGCUUCCCUCCCUCCCAGUGCUGAUUUCCUGUGGACCAGAUUCCAGCACAGUGGAGGGCCAGAGCUCAGGGAACAGACCCAGCAGCACAGCAAGUCUCCAAGGAAAGCUCUAGCAGUCUCCAGGGGCUGAAGGCAGGACUGGGGAAGCGGCUAGCCAGGCUGCAGAAGGCAAAUGCUCCCAGACGGCUGUCCAGCACGCAUCCGCCUUCCUAGCCAAGUUUCCUGGGCUCCUGCCACAGAUCUAAGCCUCAUCCUGACAUCCUGCCCUCUGUGCUCUGGGAUGGCCCAGGGGAGAUGCUUAGCCUUGGCUCCUUGUCUGCUGGUGGAGGGGACACACACCCUUUCUGGACCACAGACCAAAAAGAAGACCUGACGUCAUCCUGAGCACCCCCGCCAUGCAGAGUGUGUUCGCAGACUGCCAACGGGCUGGCUCCGGCCAGCAGAAGUGAACAGAGGUGGAGGUUCAGCCUGACAGCUUCUCCCCAAAGCCAUGGAGAGAAAACCUUACCACCCCCACCGCCCAGCUACUUCCAGCAAGUUGUCCAGCCUGACCCCUCUAUUUCCCCUGUUGUCUCUUAUCUGGGUCCCUGAGACCCACCCCAUCUCCAAUAAAGAACAUUGCAUACUGUGCA